GUUGUCCGGAUUUACUGGGCGUAAAGAGCGCGCAGGCGGUCGUUCAAGUCGAGUGUGAAAGCCCCCGGCUCAACUGGGGAGGGUCACUCGAUACUGAUCGACUCGAAGGCAGAAGAGGGAAGCGGAAUUCCCGGUGUAGUGGUGAAAUGCGUAGAUAUCGGGAGGAACACCAGUGGCGAAGGCGGCUUUCUGGUCUGCUCUUGACGAUGAGGCGCGAAAGCUAGGGGAGCAAACAGG
rnacentral:rRNA from 1 species